GACUACAAUGCUUUGGUUAGUCCAUUGCAGUUAAAUUGAAAUUUAUUGCCGUGCGCGAACACAUUGUUAUCAAUAUCGUGUUCGUCCUUGCGCUAGCGUGCCUGUGGAGGCGGUGAUAUAUUAUUACUUACAUCUUUGAGCUUACAUCUUUGUUUGAAUCCCGUUUUAACAUUUCGUUUCUUCUCAUCGUUAUUGAUUAAAGAUGGCUCGUUUUACCACCCGCCAAUAUCACUACGUAUGAAGCCGGUGGGGAUUAGCGGGCGAACGUACUUGGGACAAAAACAAAAUUUUCGAAACAGAUACAUAGCAAAUGCAUAGUUGUAGAGCGGUUUUGGUAUGCAAACAAAGAGAAUAUAAAUCAUGUUUUAGAAACAGAAUGUUUCAUUUCUAAUGUUGCCAUCCCAUUUUGGUUUGGCUGCGGAUGAGAUUGUUGAAAAAUAAUGUAAAAUAGACUUGAUCAUAGUCUGACGUGUUGUGCAUUUAGUAUCAAUUCACGCGCAUAGAUAAAGGAUAUUCAGAAGGCCAUGGAGUACGGGGGAAGUUUUAAGGUGCAUUUUCCAAGAGAAGCGGGGGAAAUAUCCCAAAGCUAUUACAAUAAGAUUGAAAAUGAAGUAUUCUUACUUUUGUAAACUUGAUAAAAAUGGGGGCUCUUUUUAUUGCUUUUUGAUUUAAAACAUUUAUGGAAAACCACAGUUUGUGACAAAAAAAGGAAAAAUUACUCUAAUUGUUGUUCAGUAACACCGAUAUAAAAAACAAUUGUUUUUGGGGUCUUAAAUUUAUUUUGUGAAAUUUCUACUGACUAAUAGACAAGAGCGCAUUUGUAGCUAUCAUAUAUAUCACAGAAAUAGAAAAAUAAAGUUAUAGAAUACAGAUCACGAAAAAAAAAAAUGGAGAUCCGACGAGUGCACACUAACAAUUUGAGCGAAGUCGAAUAAAACCUUGGAAAGGCAUCGCCUGUAUGGAUGGAGUAUAUAAACCGCCAAAACGAUGACAUGGGAAUUGUAGUUCUUAGUUGAGAUAUGAAUUCUACAUUGCAUGGCAAUAAAAAAUCAGUGAAUUUCCCCUUAUUGAGCAUAGAGUACCUAUCCAUUUGUUGAAUCUCAUUUGUCUCAAUUAACGCGUAUAAUUCUUGUUCCAAAGUAUCGAGAAAGUGCUAUUUAAGGCACUAGCCCCUAGACGAAACUGAAACUCACAAAUAACAGGUAGUGCAAAUAUAGGCGUCGGCAGUUGCGUAAAUUUGUUCUGAGGGGAUUCAAUAUUGGGGAAAGGUUAAUUUGCGCUUCAAAAAGAGAGAAUAUUAUGUUAAAGAAAACAUCCUAAGCCAGCUAUGACCGUUCUAUUACCAAUCCUAUAUUUGAUUCUUCAAAAUCACCGACUUUUAUAAAGUCUUUUGUCAUAUCGGUAGUUUUCACAUACUUAUGAGUUCGUUAUAUGCCGAAAAACGACAUAAUAUACUUUGUUCCAUAACCUUUGGAAAAAGCUAU